rnacentral:tRNA from 1 species
CUAUCGGAUCGUUUUAGAAACAUCAGUGGCCAACAAUCGUCAGGAUUGUUGAGCUGCAUUGGCGGGAUUUCGCCGUCUUCGUUUCUCUUUCUUCGCGGACGAACACGCGCUGGGGCUGCAAGUUUGCAGAGUCCCUGGUCCUUGACUGGAUAUGCGUUAGGGGCUUGUAGCUCAGUUGGUUAGAGCGCGCGCUUGAUAAGCGUGAGGUCGGAAGUUCAAGUCUUCCCAGGCCCACCACUUUCAUCGAGUGAGCAUUCGUCUUCUGGUUACGGGGCCAUAGCUCAGCUGGGAGAGCGCGUGCUUUGCAAGCAUGAGGUCGUCGGUUCGAUCCCGUCUGGCUCCACCAGAUGGUUUGAUCAUCGACUGAUCGUGCACCUAAAUCGUCCGCGAAACAUCACUUCGCAUCUUGCUAGUCUGGAUAGACAGCAAGUUGCGUGAUUUCUGACAUCGUAAAGAGGAGAUCGAUCCGAGUUGGAUCGUGCAGCAAGCAAUUGCUACGCGAGACUUCAUUAUCUCCGGAUCAUUUCGGCGCUCGUGCGUCUUUCAAGGGCAGCUCACAAGGCUGCUUCUGGAGAGACAAGCGAGUUGUAAAUGAUCCUUUUAGCGAAGCUUGACCGCCUCGCUAUCGGAACGAUCUUACGAAGCAAGCUGGUCUUUCUAAUCAUUGUCCGGCUGCAGAUAGCGUUCAUCGAGGGCGCGUGCCGCAAGGCAGUUCUGCAGACAACAUUCUGCCGAGUGUGUGGACAUUGAUAAUGAGAGCAAUCAAGUGCCUUAAGGGUGUUCGGUGGAUGCCUUGGCGCU